rnacentral:rRNA from 1 species
UGUAAGCGUAUACCAAAGUUGUUGCAGUUAAAACGCUCGUAGUCGGAAUUUGGCAGUUCCGGAAGUGUGCACGUCGUGUGCGCACUUUGCGGGGACUGCUUUUGUGGUCUUGCAUAGGAUGAGGCACUUUCAUUAGUGAACGUCCUCACGCAACCACUCUUUACUGUGAGAAAAUCAGAGUGCUCAAAGCAGGCAUUUGCCGUGAAUGUAUUAGCAUGGAAUAAUAGAAUAGGACUCGGUUCUAUUUUGUUGGUUUGUUGGGACUGAGUAAUGAUUAAGAGGGACAGUUGGGGGCAUUUGUAUUCCGGCGCUAGAGGUGAAAUUCUUAGAUUGCCGGAAGACAAACUGCUGCGAAAGCGUCUGCCAAGGAUGUUUUCAUUGA